rnacentral:guide_RNA from 1 species
AUAUAAAACAAAAAUCUAAUAUAGAACAGAGAACAGAUGAUGAUGAUGAA